AAAUUGAAGAGUUUGAUCAUGGCUCAGAUUGAACGCUGGCGGCAGGCCUAACACAUGCAAGUCGAACGGUAACAGGAAGCAGCUUGCUGCUUUGCUGACGAGUGGCGGACGGGUGAGUAAUGUCUGGGAAACUGCCUGAUGGAGGGGGAUAACUACUGGAAACGGUGGCUAAUACCGCAUAACGUCGCAAGACCAAAGAGGGGGACCUUCGGGCCUCUUGCCAUCAGAUGUGCCCAGAUGGGAUUAGCUUGUUGGUGAGGUAACGGCUCACCAAGGCGACGAUCCCUAGCUGGUCUGAGAGGAUGACCAGCCACACUGGAACUGAGACACGGUCCAGACUCCUACGGGAGGCAGCAGUGGGGAAUAUUGCACAAUGGGCGCAAGCCUGAUGCAGCCAUGCCGCGUGUAUGAAGAA
rnacentral:rRNA from 2 species